rnacentral:rRNA from 1 species
CGGUACGCGAGCUGGGUUUAGAACGUCGUGAGACAGUUCGGUCCCUAUCCUCUGUAGCCGAAGGUGAUUUGAGGAAAGCUGUCCCUAGUACGAGAGGACCGGGACGGACGCAGCUCUCGUGUGCCAGUUGUUCUGCCAAGGGCAUGGCUGGUUAGCGACCUGCGGAAAGGAUAACCGCUGAAAGCAUCUAAGUGGGAAGCCUGUUCCAAGAUGAGAUCACCCACCGGGAAAACCGGGUAAGGCCCGUGGCAGAACACCACGUUGAUAGGCCGGAAGUGUACGCAUGGCAACAUGUUCAGCUAACCGGUACUAAUCGGCCGAGGGCUUGGUUCUACAU